rnacentral:rRNA from 1 species
GAUUUCUGGUUUAAUGCGCCUGGCCCGCCUCGUAAGAGUGUGAGUGCCGGUGCGCGUUUGCCAUCCUUCUAGAAAACAUGUCUGGCCUUCACUGGUUCGGGCAUGCGAUCUAGAUCUAUUACUUUGAAAAAAUUAGAGUGUUUAAAGCAGGCUUUUGCUAUGAAUACAUUAGCAUGGAAUAAUAAUUUAGGACUUUGGUUCUAUUUUGUUGGUUUCUAGUACUGAAGUAAUGAUUGAUAGGGACAGUUGGGGGUGCUAGUAUUGGCCGGCCAGAGGUGAAAUUCUUGGAUUCGGUCAAGACUAACUUAUGCGAAAGCAUU